ACCGGCAGCUCAAGUGGUGGCCAUUAUUAUUGGGCCUAAAGCGUUCGUAGCCGGUUUGAUAAGUCUCUGGUGAAAUCCCGCAGCUUAACUGUGGGACUUGCUGGAGAUACUAUCAGACUUGAGGUCGGGAGAGGUUAGGGGUACUCCCAGGGUAGCGGUUAACUGCUACAAUCCGGGCGGGGAGAACCGGGGGCAAGUGGCUCAACUUGAACGAAACCGCCGGUGAGUGGCGGUCGCCAGGGCGGGGAACGA
rnacentral:rRNA from 1 species